UCUCAUGCUGUGACCCUCUAAAGGGAAGCACUUUCUGUUGUACAAAAAAAAAGCAAAGCGCUUCCCUUUAGAGUGUCACGGUUUGGGC
rfam:Callithrix jacchus chromosome 22, whole genome shotgun sequence